UACAGAGGGUGCAAGCGUUAAUCGGAGUUAUUGGGCGUAAAGCGUGCGUAGGCUGACAUUUAAGUCGGGCGUGAAAGCCCCGGGCUUAACCUGGGAAUUGCGUUCGAUACUGUUUGUCUAGAGUAUGGUAGAGGAGGGCGGAAUUUCCGGUGUAGCGGUGAAAUGCGUAGAUAUCGGAAAGAACAUCAGUGGCGAAGGCGGCCUUCUGGACCAAUACUGACGCUGAGACACGAAAGCGUGGGGAG
rnacentral:rRNA from 1 species